rfam:Azoarcus sp. CIB, complete genome.
UGCGUUUUUCGCCCAGGCGGAGCUCGACCGCCGAUUCAAGUCCUGAGGUCUUUCGUCGACGCGCAUCGUGAUGCUUUCGGGGUCGAGCCGAUCUGCAGGCAAUUGCAGAUCGCCCCG